GACGAACGCUGGCGGCGUGCUUAACACAUGCAAGUCGAACGGGCCCGCUCUCUUUUUUGGGGGUGGGUUGAGUGGCGAACGGGUGAGUAUCACGUGAGUAACCUGCCCCCUGCUCCUGGAUAACUGCUUGAAAGGGCGGCUAAUACGGGGUGUGCCGGCUGGUCCGCAUGGGCCUGGUCGGGAUAGUUUCAUCUUCGGGUGUUUCGGUGGGGGAUGGGCUCGCGGCCUAUCAGCUUGUUGGUGGGGUGAUGGCCCACCAAGGCGGUGACGGGUAGCCGGCCGGAGAGGGUGGGCGGCCACACUGGGACUGAGACACGGCCCAGACUCCUGCGGGAGGCAGCAGUGGGGGGUAUUGCACAAUGGGCGGAAGCCUGAUGCAGCGACGUCGCGUGAGGGAUGGAGGCCUUCGGGUUGUGAACCUCUUUCUCCGGUGGUGAAGGCCCUGUCCGUUGCGGCGGGGUUGACGGUAGCCGGGUAUGAAGCGCCGGCUAACUACGU
rnacentral:rRNA from 1 species